AUUUUUACUGUAUUUUUUUUCAAAUUUUAUUUUUGCUUUAAAAAUAGUUAAUUUGCAACACUUUUGAACCUGCGGCUAUUUUUCCAAUACAUACUCUAAAAAUGGCUAAUCGUGAACUUUAUCAUACUAGUUGUACAAUUCGAGUCCAAAUCCAACAAGUUCCGAAUUUUUUGGGCUUGUUAUCCACAAAAUCCUUGUCAAUAUAGGAAUUUACUUGCACGCCCAGUCCAAUUCCUAGUUCCUAAAUUAGAAAAAAUCUGGGCUUGUCAUUAGUAUUCAAAAUCCAUGUCAAUAUAGGAAUUUGCUUGCUCGCCUAUAUAUAUGUCCUUAGAUUCAUUUGUCUUGCUAUGGAAGCGGUUCUUUUUCCUUGCCCUAGAAAUAGAGAAGCCUCACAUCCUCAAACUAUGGCGAACUGGGCAGAGUUGCCCAUCGAUCUGAUUACUGAUAUUGCAAAGCGUGUUAAAGUGAUUGAAGAUUUCAUUGCUUUUGGUACUGUUUGUACCUCGUGGCGAACUGCUGCUACAAAGGAAAACUUUGAUGUGUUUUCGCCCCAAGUCUCGUUGCUUAUGUUGGGUGCCAAAGAUGACGAUUAUCGAGAAUUUUACUCUCUUUCCAAGAAGAAAGUUUCAAGCAUAUUUCUCCCGGAAGCUAGAGGACGAGAGUGUUUACCAUCCGAGGGAUGGCUUUGCACCGUGGCAAAUAAUACGGGGGAGAUGAACUUGUUGCAUCCUUUAUCUCGAAUCAAUAUACAGCUUCCCUCCCGAAAAGACUUACUGUCUUUUCAUGGUCUCGAUUAUCUCGAAAGACCACGUGGAGGAAAGCGUUGGCACUGCAUAGACAAAGCUAUCUUAUCUGCAAAUCCAUCUCUUACAUCAGAUUAUGCGCUGUUGGUGCACUAUUAUGGAGGAGGUUCUUGUUUGGCUUUUUGGCGACCCGGAGAUCUUAAUUGGACGGAGAUUGAUGUUGUUACUGAUGGUGGAGUCUGCAAUAUGAUUUUUUGUAAGGGCCAAUUUUAUUCAGUGAGUUACCGUGGCGAAGUAUGGGCUUAUGAUAUUGCAGGGCCUAACAUUACGCAACCAAGUGUACAGACACGCUUGCUUGCUGAGCUUGAAGAUGAUAUGUUUAAACUGCCUUCAGUUCAGUUCUACCUAGUUGAGUUAUCCGGUGCACUAUUACUUGUUACUCGAUAUGCAAUCGAGAGCAUAGAUGAGGAUCCAAACGGUACUUUUAAGAGCUUUAAAUUUAAAAUAUCUGAACUAGAUAUAACCAAAGGUAAAUUCAAGGAAGAGGAAAUUAAAACCUUGGGAGAUUUAUCAAUUUUUUUGGGCCGCAAUGGAGCAAGUUGCAUUGACUGUUCUAAGUUUUCAGGAAUCAAACCUAAUCACAUAUAUUUUACUGAUGAUUGGUUAGAAUAUGUUAGAAAUGUGGAAGGAGGGGCUGGAAGAGAUAUGGGGGCUUACAAUCUAGAAGAUGGAAAAAUUGAAUCAUUUUAUCCUGGAUCUGGAUUGUCAAUAAGCCUUAUUUGCCCACCAACUUGGGUUAUGCCAUCACUAAUAAUGUGAUUGCAACUUAUUGUUUGUUUUAAAUUAUUAUUUUUACCGUAUUAUCAGUUUAAAGCUAAGUUAAUCUGUUUAUUCUCCUUCAUUGUAAUCUUGGCUGGUGGAUUGUUGUUGUGUUUAAUAGACUAUUGAGGCUUAUGAUAUUUAGUUUGCAAAAUAACAAUAAAAAAGGAAAUAUUUAGUUUGCAAAUUUUAACUCUCUCAUUUGAUUCCCCCUACAUUUAUCUCCUUCGAACAUGUCAUUUUAGUUGUCUGUGUCUUAUCUAAAGGUUGGAGGCUGAAGCAGGUUUGAUCCCAGGUUCAAUAGUAAACAAGUUAGUAAAUUUCAGCUAUUGUGGACACACAUAUAUCCCACUUAAGAAGGACCGUUGUCUACCAAUAUACCUGUAAAAUAUUUUGCUUGAUAAUUUCAUAUGCUGAUGUUAUGGUGCUCGAGAUCAGAAGACGUUAUACUUGCAUCUGUUACAUUGGCAAAGCUGAUCAAUAAGAAUUACGUACUAUAUGUUAAUAUUUGCUUUUUAUCAGUUUAGCCUUUUGUUGCAUUAUCACAUUUAUUUGAUUGACUUGGUUGCUUUGAUUCUUUUAUAUUGAGGUACAACCAACUGAAACUUUUCGAUAACUAAUCUUUUUAACAACACCAAGGAGGAAUUGUCUAGCGACGUUAUUGGCUGGUUUUUUACCUCAAUUACACACGGGAUCAAUGAACUCCAGUACAGAAUUUUUAUCAUUUGCAAGUAUAACUUGCGUCGCACAUGGGAAAAUCGACUCAUAUUCAACGAACUCUUUAAAUUUACUAGUAUAUUAUAUAAUAUUUGGUCUUAAGUAAGGUGAUGCAACACAUCUGUAAACUAAGAAUCAUAUUUAUCUUUUUUUCUUCUUUUUUGUUCUUUUUUACUCUCAUUCUUUCAUUUGAAAAGCCUAAAAGUCAUACUUUACAACUUCCGGCACCUGUUUGUAUUCCAAAGUAAAUUCAUGUAGAUUAAUUAAGUUAUUUAUACAUGAAGGAGAUUCCACAUUAUAUCUUACAUCAAAAACACACAACAUUCUCCGGUUCUUCUCUAUCUAUAACCUAUUGUUCUUCUUUUCCCGUUUAGAUUUGCAGUUGAUGAAGGAAGAUUUAGCAAAGUUGCUCCUUGGCAAUGAUAUAUCUGGUAGAGAUAAGGGUGUCUCAUCUUCACUGGAUACAUCAAAUGUGAGGGAGAUGAUUGUGGCACCAGUAUCCGAGUUAGACUCGGUGCUUUCUGAUGAUAAAGGAGAAAUUUUUAUCAACAAGGUACUCUCAUUCAAUUAAGCUUACUAGACUACAAUAUGGUAAUUCUAUAGUUUAAGUUAGUUAAUUGUCAUACUUAACCCUAAUUUAUAUCUUGGCUAUAAAUAUAUUUUGAGGAGGCAAUUCUAAAUGAGAUCUAAAGAUAGAUACACAAGAGUGACUUUUAAAAAAACAAGAUACAUACGCAAUAAUGGAAGAAUUUUGUAGUUAGGAAUCCAUCUCUACUAAAGAACACUGCAAUUCCAUUAUAAAAUAAUUCUCGAAUUCUAUUACAUUGCUUUCUAUAUUACUAGAUUACCAUAGAGUCCUGUUAUUUGGUUGCACCAUUGUCAAGGCACUUGCAUAGCAAAGAUGGAGUGAUGUGUUGAAACUUUUGGACUUCAAUGAAAUGUAUUCAUUGGUCUUAUAGAUUUUUCAAAGACCCCAUAUCAGCAUAGAUGACUUUGACUAGCUUUACAAGAAGGGAAAAUUAUGAUUAAUAUUUAGCUAUUAACACUGAUCAAAAUGGAAACGAAGUUCGGCAUAAUUCUUUUUUUGUGUGUAAGCUUUGCACAUAUUGGUUAAUAGGCUAUAUUACCAGGUAUUUUGCUUAUCUCAAAAAAAUCCUCAUUCCCAGGUUAUUCAAGCUGAAUCAUACCAAUCUUCUAAUGACUGUAAUGAAUUGACAUGACGAGUUAUGAUAUUAUGCAGAGAUACGACAGCCAUAUUUCCUAGCUUUGUGUCAAAACAUGAAAUGAUGAUGAAAUUUGCAAAUUCUUUUGUUAAAAUGUGAAUACAAUGGUACACAAUUGCAGUGAAUAUGAAUCCAGCAACCUGCUCAUCAUUUCUCUGCAAUAACAAAAAUUGAAAAUACAGAAAUGUUACCUAAAACAUAAUAAAAAAAUCUAAACAAGUUAUGCGGUGAUCAUAUCUUCAGGAAUUACAAUGCUAAUUUGCAUGCAAUGAGAUGCCUAGGUCCUCACGGGUAGCCCAACAGUUGUGUGUAGGAUGGACCAGAAAUCAUCAUGUAGGGAUGCAUUAAUCACAUCAUUGAUUGGGAAAUUGGGCUCACCAGAUAUCGUUAGAGGCAUCUCGGCAUGCCCCUCCCGGGAAAAUGCGCAUAAUUGAUAAUACAGCCUUUGUGUUUGCCUAAACCACAGUGUCUUCUUUGACGCCGAAACCUAAAUUGAAAUGGUAAAGAAAUGGUGGGUUUGAGUUCCACUAUAUAUGAUGCACUCCAUCAAAAGAAUAUCCUAUGGAUUGCUCACAAUAGCAGUCACAAUUUGGAAUGAUGCACAUUGAGCUUGCAAAUGCAUAAGAAGAUGGCAGUUGCAGCCACCACAUCUUCAUAAAGUUCUGUAACCAUCUCUUGGAAAAGUUGUAUCCUAGUAUUAUGCCAUUUACGGUAUCCAUGCAUGCCUGCCCUCGGCUGUGGCAUAGCCAUGAGUAGUAAGGUAGGCAUAGGUAGGAGGAGCACAGCCUAUUGGAGCUAGUCCUAUGACUCCCAUCACAACUGCUUAUUCAAGAUCUUGGGUCUAUACAAGUUAUGUGCCAACAGUAUACAUCCCAUAAACUGUUGGAAUAUAAAGUUGGCCUUACAUAAUAUCAUAAGACAUAUAGAGGACGGAAUAAGGAUAUAGACGUUAAGCACAUUUCAGAAUGUAUUGAAACUCCACUCCUACAUUACCAGAUCACAAAAUGAGUUAUUUAUAGUGCUAGAGGAGAAGUCUAGAACUAUUUCUAGAUAAAUUUUAUCACCUAGCAAUUGCAGAAAACUAUUCUAGAUUUUCUUUUAAAUUUAUCCAUCUAGAGCAUACAAAAGGGUAAAGCGAGAAAAUUAUCCACAUUACCCAACACAGAUUCUGAAGAAUUCAAAAUUACUGAAAAAAACUUUGAAAAGUAAUGCUGCUCUCUAAAAGCAGACAUUUCUCUAACGAUUGAGCUAAAUAAUGUUAGGAAGAACUUAGGGAUAUAGGGGGAAUUGAAACAUGUAACCGCAUGACAGAGGGAUUAAGCUAAGUGAUUAUAAGUUGCAAAUAAUGCUUGCAUGGAGUAAUUUGAUGCUGUUUCAAGUUUCCUUUAAAUAUCAGAAAAGGAUCUCUUUGUACCAUUAUCCAUAUGCUAUUCUUGGCAAAUGGAGAUCAAAUUCAGUGUCCUCUGGUCCAUAUAUGCCCUUAGAGUUACACAGCAGUGGCGGACCCAGGUGGUGGCUAGCGGGUUCAACUGAACCCGCUUCGC